GGUUCAUUGAUGCAUGCACGCCUUAGGAAAUUGGAUUGUGUAUGGAGAAGUGGCAAGUGGCCCUUCAGGCUUCAGAUCCUGCAAAGAAGAAAUGAUUAUUGAGUGUCUGCUGCUUCCAGGACAUGCUUGAUUGAGCGCUUUUUCAGCAACUUGGAUAUCAUAUCUAAAUUUACCAAGAUAGUAAAAAUCUCUCUUCACACAUGAGUAUCGAAAAAAACUACCUACAGGCUACAGCUAAUGACCACUUCUUAAAUUUACAUAAUUCUCCAUGUACUGCUUCUAGGUGGGCCCAAGAAGAAACCACCUACAGCUAAUAAUCUUCUUGAUCUUGACCAACGAUAAUGGAAUCUCUGGUGAACGUGAUGAGAGAUGCUUUUAUAGAUGUGAAAACAUGUUCUUUGCAAUAAGAGAGGCACGGGGAUUCAUUGUGUAUUAAUCUUUUUGGAGGUUUGAUCAUGAAAAAUCAGUGAAGUUUAAUUAGUGUUUUGUGUAUUAAUCUUUUUGGAGGUUUGAUCAUGAAAAAUUAGUGUUUUAACGAUUGGGCAGUGUUGAUAUUCUACUUCCCUUCUUAAUAUCUGAUAUUACACUUACGUAAAUCUAGAAUCUUGCAUUUGUGAUUGAACCAAACAACAACGUGUGCGUAUGUUAGUGCAGAAGCUGCUAUAGUACGACAUAGCCGGGAGCAACCAAUUAAACUGAGCUGCGAGAAGAUCAUUGUCAUCCUUCUGUUGAGGACAUUGAUGCUUGUGUCCCGUUGUUGCCCUAUUAUGCUUCACUGAAUAACAGUUCAAAUUAGCAUGGCUGCUAUCAAAUUUAAUUCAGUUUGAUGGCUCAUUUAAUUUUGUUUGAUGAUUAACUAUCAAAUUUGAUUCACGCUCAAAGAAAUCAACCCGUCCGAUCGUGGGCCUUCAUCCUAGAGCAGCUGCUCCUUGAGAAAAAUGCAAGAUUUCUGGUUUAUCAGGCCGUUUGGACCAAGCUGGCCUGUUACUGGAGCCGUGUUGAGCUGUUGCUGGUCGCUUGGAGAUCUCCGGUGCCCACGGAGAUGUGCCGAUCAGAGGAACUAAAACCAAUCUAUCAAAGCGGGAGCUCGGUUAGUAAAAAAAAAGCAGAAACGUUGGUCCCUUGGGCUAAUCGACCUAAACUAUACUGCACCUCGGUCGAUCAAAAAGGAAAUAACUAAGCCGAAGCUCCGUUCAACAGAAACGCAGUCGUCACCGAUUGAUAUGGCGAGUAUCGGUAGAGGAUCUGAAGGGGAGAUGUCAUGGGCAAUUGAAUUCAUUAGUUUGCUUUCAAUCAACAAAUCACUUGCUCACUAUCAAUUCCAGUUGGGUGCCGCUCACCGGUGGUCGACAAGGAGGUGAUUUACACUGGACGAAAGUAUCUAUCUACAUCAGCAAGAUGUUUCAGUUAAGGGAAAAAGUUCACUGCACAAUAUCAAAUGAUUCUCCAUUUCUCCUACUAGAAAGAUAUUUAAAUUUAUGGACAAGAUAGCCAAAUAACUAGAUCAUGUUGAAUUUGAAGAUCAAACACAUUGUCAAUAGAGUACUUUGACAGAUCCUUGGCUGCAUAUAAGAAAAAUGUAGAAAGUCAGAAAAAUUUGUUGAAAAUGGAAAUUUUAUUAGUUCCUCCUAUCCAUGUUACUUGUCACAA